CACUGUUCCUCGUCCCACCUGCUCGUCUCUGUUCAUGUGCCAGAAGCAGAGACUACAAAAGGAUGCUGUUUGCCACUCUGUAUAAGACACAUCGAUGGUGAAAACACAUGCUGAGAAUUGAACUGAAGACCAUGAAAGUAAUGCAGUCAUUUCUAACAGAUGUAUCAGUGCAUAUAUAACCUUAUCCUGAGCUGGGCCUCCGAGAACGAGGUCAGACACGGCUUAAAACCCAGCUGUCAUAUUCUCAAAACCAG